rnacentral:rRNA from 1 species
AACGAACGCUGGCGGCGUGCCUAACACAUGCAAGUCGAACGAGAAAGGGGCUUCGGCUCCGAGUAAAGUGGCGCACGGGUGAGUAACACGUGGGUAACCUGCCUCUAAGAUUGGGAUAACUCGUCGAAAGAUGAGCUAAUACCGGAUAAGACCACAGUUCCCGCGGGAACAGGGGUCAAAGGUAGCCUCUGCUUGCAAGCUAUCACUUAGAGAUGGGCCUGCGCACCAUUAGCUAGUUGGUAGGGUAACGGCCUACCAAGGCAAAGAUGGUUAGCUGGGCUGAGAGGAUGAUCAGCCACACUGGAACUGAGACACGGUCCAGACUCCUACGGGAGGCAGCAGGGGGGAAUAUUGCGCAAUGGGCGAAAGCUUGACGCAGCAACGCCGCGUGAGUGAUGAAGGCCUUCGGGUCGUAAAGCUCUGUCGGGAGGAACGAAUGCUCCCAAGGUUAACAGCCUCGGGAGGUGACGGUACCUUCAAAGGAAGCACCGGCUAACUCUGUGCCAGCCGCCGCCGUAACAC